GUCGAGCGAACAGAUGAGGAGCUUGCUCCUCUGACGUUAGCGGCGGACGGGUGAGUAACACGUGGGCAACCUGCCCUAUAGUUUGGGAUAACUCGCGGAAACGUGAGCUAAUACCGAAUAAUACAUUCCAUCUCCUGAUGGGAUGUUGAAAGAUGGUUUUUCGCUAUCGCUAUAGGAUGGGCCCGCGGCGCAUUAGCUAGUAGGUGAGGUAACGGCUCACCUAGGCAACGAUGCGUAGCCGACCUGAGAGGGUGAUCGGCCACACUGGGACUGAGACACGGCCCAGACUCCUACGGGAGGCAGCAGUAGGGAAUCUUCCACAAUGGACGAAAGUCUGAUGGAGCAACGCCGCGUGAGUGAAGAAGGUUUUCGGAUCGUAAAACUCUGUUGUAAGGGAAGAACAAGUACAGUAGUAACUGGCUGUACCUUGACGGUACCUUAUUAGAAAGCCACGGCUAACUACGUGCCAGCAGCCGCGGUAAUACGUAGGUGGCAAGCGUUGUCCGGAAUUAUUGGGCGUAAAGCGCGCGCGGGCGGUCCUUUAAGUCUGAUGUGAAAUCACGUGGCUCAACCACGUGCGGUCAUUGGAAACUGGAGGACUUGAGUGCAGAAGAGGAAAGUGGAAUUCCAAGUGUAGCGGUGAAAUGCGUAGAGAUUUGGAGGAACACCAGUGGCGAA
rnacentral:rRNA from 1 species